ACAAACGCUCUUCACUUAUUCAGAGAGCGAGAGAGAGGGUUCGAUUAUAAUGGCGACGAGAGAGAGAGAGAGAGAGCAAACAGACAUGAAGAACAAGUCAGAGGAGGUAUCGUUUCGUGUUUCCUUCUUAAACCCUAAGGUCCGUGUUCGUGUUCCAACCAGGAAGAGCGAGACAGAGCGAGCGAGAGAGAGCAAACGGACUGAAGAAGUCAGAGGAGGUGUUGUGUUCGUGUUCCAACCUGAAGGACAAUGACUUAGAUUCAGAACAAUUAAAGGGUCGCCGGCGUUCUAACAUCACUUAUUAGAGAUUUCACCACAUGUUCUAAACCUUAUAAAACUUCAGUCAACAGAACAUCUUCAACAACAUCAUUCAAACUGAUUGAUUAAAAGAGAAUGAGAGGACUCGUUGAAGCCCAAGUUAAGGGACCUUUCUAUGAUUCUCUUCUUCUUCUUAGUCCUGAUAACUUCCCCUAAAGAUCUUCUUGGAGAUACUCGAAGAGCUCGGCCUGUGAAGAGAGCUAAAUGGAUGGAGUACUCAAGAAGCAGGUUUGCUUGAAAAGCUUGCAGCUAAGUAUAAGAUCGGAGAUAUGCUAUGGGUUUGAAGAAUGAAGAAGAUUCAUAACCAAAAAGGUAACAGCAUCAAACUGAUUCUUCUUUUUAAAUGGAGUCAAGAAGCAGGUUUGCUUGAAAAGCUUGAAAUUAAGUAUAAGGUAUAAAUCGUAAUGCACUUUCAGAUACUCGAAGAGCUGCCUGUGAAGAGAGCUAAAUGAUUCGUUUUGCGCAGAUUGGAGAUAUGCUAUGGGUUUGAAGAAUGAUGAAGAUUCAGAACCAAAAAGAUACUCGAAGAACAUGGCCUGUGAAGAGAGCUAAAUGGAGUCUAGAAGCAGGUUUGCUUGAAAAGCUUGAAGCUAAGUGUAAGAUCGGAGAUUUGCUAUGAGUUUAUAUAUUAAGGAAGCUUCUUCUUCUUCUAAUUCUCUAUUCAUGUUUCUUUCAUUUGGGUGGUGAAUUGACGAAACAGGUUUGUGUCUGUGGCUGUGUGCUCCAAACAGGACGAUGAAUCAUAUUUUUCAAGGACGUACGAAAGCAUGAAUGUUUAGCAAUGAGAGGGGGCUUAUCUGGUAAGUAUGUUGUCAGGACGGUAAUCUGUGGUUUGGUUGAGCUGUCAUGAUGCGUCUCUGGAGGUCUAGCACUUUGAGCCCAGUUGAUCUCUUUAUCUAUCCUCGUCUUUUUAAAAUGCCAAUGACAAGAGACUGCAUCUCUGCCCUGAGUAUCCUGCUAGUUCCAAUUCUGACAUGACUAGUGAUCAUGGUGUUGCGAGGAACUACUGAAAUCUUUUGGUAGAGAGAAGUAGCUCAAUCGUCGACGCCAAGACUCCAUUGAUGUUUUCGAACAA